CUCUACAAGGUGGUGGCAGUACUUGUCCUGAGGAUGGGAAAGUGGCUCUCUCAGCUGCCUGGUUUGUGCCUGCCAGAGGAAAUGACCCCGGGGAUGUCCAUGGAGGGUGUGCAGGGGAAGAAACUGAGGCUCACAGCACUGGGCCCCUCACCAGCCUCCACGCUUCGUCUUUUGACCCCCGCACGCCAGCACUCACCUUCCUGAGCUUUUCCUGCUGCACGAUGCGUGUCUUCUUGGGUGCGAUAACGCGACCUGGGGAGAGAUGUGCUCUCGUGAGGCCGGAGAUCCCCGGGCCCACCUCGCCCCCAGCCCUUGGCCCGCUCCUCACCGCCCUUCCUCGGGCCCCGGUUCCGCGCUGAGGCCAUCGCCGCAGUCUUGCUCUUCGCCGGCUUCUGCGCCUGGAACUUGCGCUGCCCCUGCGCCAUGAUCAGGCACGCACCGGAAAA